GAUGAAGAACGUAGCGAAAUGCGAUAAGUAAUGUGAAUUGCAGAAUUCAGUGAAUCAUCGAAUCUUUGAACGCACAUUGCGCCCGCCAGUAUUCUGGCGGGUAUGCCUGUUCGAGCGUCAUUUCAACCAUCAAGCCCCCGGCUUGUGUUGGGGACCUGCGGCUGCCGCAGGCCCUGAAAAGCAGUGGCGGGCUCGCUGUCACACCGAGCGUAGUAGAUUUCAUCUCGCUCAGGGCGUGCUGCGGGUUCCGGCCGUUAAACCACCUUCAUAACCCAAGGUUGACCUCGGAUCAGGUAGGAAGACCCGCUGAACUUAAGCAUAUCAAUAAGCGGAGGA
rnacentral:misc_RNA from 1 species